rnacentral:misc_RNA from 1 species
UCCGAGUUGACCCCGGCAGUCUCCUAUGAGUCCCCGGCAUUAUCCGCUGGCAACAUAGGACGAGGGUUGCGCUCGUUGCGGGACUUAACCCAACAUCUCACGACACGAGCUGACGACAACCAUGCACCACCUGUCCACCGACCCCGAAGGGCACCGUAUCUCUACGGCUUUUCGGUACAUGUCAAGCCUAGGUAAGGUUCUUCGCGUUGCAUCGAAUUAAGCAACAUGCUCCGCCGCUUGUGCGGGCCCCCGUCAAUUCUUUUGAGUUUUAGCCUUGCGGCCGUACUCCCCAGGCGGAACACUUAUCGCGUUGGCUGCGGCACAGACAGAUUCGACUCCGCCCACACCUAGUGUUCAUCGUUUACGGCGUGGACUAC